GCGGGGAGCCACCAGGUUGCCUAAGGAGG
rnacentral:piRNA from 1 species